rnacentral:rRNA from 1 species
UACGAAGGGGGGCUAGCGUUGCUCGGAAUCACUGGGCGUAAAGGGUGCGUAGGCGGGUCUUUUAAGUCAGGGGGUGAAAUCCUGGAGCUCAACUCCAGAACUGCCUUUGAUACUGAGGAUCUUGAGUUCGGGAGAGGUGAGUGGAACUGCGAGUGUAGAGGUGAAAUUCGUAGAUAUUCGCAAGAACACCAGUGGCGAAGGCGGCUCACUGGCCCGAUACUGACGCUGAGGCACGAAAGCGUGGGGGAGCAAACAGG